rnacentral:rRNA from 1 species
GAUGAACGCUGGCGGCGUGCCUAAUACAUGCAAGUCGAGCGAACAGACGAGGAGCUUGCUCCUCUGACGGUAGCGGCGGACGGGCGAGUAACACGUGGAUAACCUACCUAUAAGACUGGGAUAACUUCGUGAAACCGGAGCUAAUACCGGAUAAUAUAUUGAACCGCAGGGUUCAAUAGUGAAAGACGGUUUUGCUGUCACUUAUAGAUGGUUCCGCGCCGCAUUAGCUAGUUGGUAAGGUAACGGCUUACCAAGGCAACGAUGCGUAGCCGACCUGAGAGGAUGAUCGGCCACACUGGAACUGAGACACGGUCCAGACUCCUACGGGAGGCAGCAGUAGGGAAUCUUCCGCAAUGGGCGAAAGCUUGACGGAGCCACGCCGCGUGAGUGAUGAAGGUCUUCGGAUCGUAAAACUCUGUUAUUAGGGAAGAACAAAUGUGUAAGUAACUAUGCACGUCUUGACGGUACCUAAUCAGAAAGCCACGGCUAACUACGUG